AAAAAGGCGAUGAGCAAGAGGAGUAAGCAGUUGAAUUUCCACAGAGAGGAACCGGUCGGGUUACAGUGCCCCAGGGUGAGAGGUUCCGGAAAACAGCCUGCCGAAGGUAGCUUGGGAGCUCUGCACCGAAAGAAGUACCUGCCAUAUAGUCCACUAUAUGAUAUCCGGUUUCAAAGUAGGCUGCAGCGGAUUUUCGGACGUUAUCCGAUUGAGAGAUUCACACCGGUUUUUAGGCAUAUUUAGUCAUAUAGAACUUGUGAAAUUUUGGUGGUACCGCGAAACAGCAGCUUCGUCCAAAUA
rnacentral:ncRNA from 1 species